rnacentral:rRNA from 1 species
GACGAACGCUGGCGGCGUGCUUAACACAUGCAAGUCGAACGGAAAGGCCCUGCUUUUGUGGGGUGCUCGAGUGGCGAACGGGUGAGUAACACGUGAGUAACCUGCCCUUGACUUUGGGAUAACUUCAGGAAACUGGGGCUAAUACCGGAUAAGAGCUCCUGCUGCAUGGUGGGGGUUGGAAAGUUUCGGCGGUUGGGGAUGGACUCGCGGCUUAUCAGCUUGUUGGUGGGGUAGUGGCUUACCAAGGCUUUGACGGGUAGCCGGCCUGAGAGGGUGACCGGCCACAUUGGGACUGAGAUACGGCCCAGACUCCUACGGGAGGCAGCAGUGGGGAAUAUUGCACAAUGGGCGGAAGCCUGAUGCAGCAACGCCGCGUGCGGGAUGACGGCCUUCGGGCUGUAAACCGCUUUCGCCUGUGACGAAGCGUGAGUGACGGUAAUGGGUAAAGAAGCACCGGCUAACUACGUG